UAUACCAGUUCCCGUACAAUCACCAAAGAUAAGCAACAUUGAGCCUGGCAAGAGCUUAGAUGGGUGACCACUUAGGAAUACCUGGUGCUGUAAG